GCAUAUCAAUAAGCGGAGGAAAAGAAACCAACAGGGAUUGCCCCAGUAACGGCGAGUGAAGCGGCAACAGCUCAAAUUUGAAAUCUGGCCCCCCGGCCCGAGUUGUAAUUUGCAGAGGAUGCUUCUGGCGACGCGCCUUCCGAGUUCCCUGGAACGGGACGCCACAGAGGGUGAGAGCCCCGUCCGGUCGUGCGCCUAGCCUGUGUGAAGCUCCUUCGACGAGUCGAGUAGUUUGGGAAUGCUGCUCUAAAUGGGAGGUAUACGUCUUCUAAAGCUAAAUACCGGCCAGAGACCGAUAGCGCACAAGUAGAGUGAUCGAAAGAUGAAAAGCACUUUGAAAAGAGGGUUAAAUAGUACGUGAAAUUGCUGAAAGGGAAGCGCUUAUGACCAGACUUGGGCCCGGUGAAUCACCCAGCGUUCUCGCUGGUGCACUUUGCCGGCCCAGGCCAGCAUCAGUUCGCGCCGGGGGAUAAAGGCUUCGGGAAUGUAGCUCCCUCGGGAGUGUUAUAGACCGUUGCGCAAUACCCUGGGGCGGACUGAGGUACGCGUUCUGCAAGGAUGCUGGCGUAAUGGUCAUCAGUGACCCGUCUUGAAACACGGACCAAGGAGUCGUCUUUGUAUGCGAGUGUUCGGGUGUCAAACCCCUACGCGUAAUGAAAGUGAACGUAGGAGAGAGCUUCGGCGCAUCUCCGACCGAUCCUGAUGUUCUCGGAUGGAUUUGAGUAAGAGCAUACAGGGCCGGACCCGAAAGAAGGUGAACUAUGCCUGUAUAGGGUGAAGCCAGAGGAAACACUGGUGGAGGCUCGCAGCGGUUCUGACGUGCAAAUCGAUCGUCAAAUAUGGGCAUGGGGCGAAAGACUAAU
rnacentral:rRNA from 1 species